rnacentral:rRNA from 1 species
GACGAACGCUGGCGGCGUGCCUAAUACAUGCAAGUAGAACGCUGAAGCUUGGUGCUUGCACCGAGCGGAUGAGUUGCGAACGGGUGAGUAACGCGUAGGUAACCUGCCUGGUAGCGGGGGAUAACUAUUGGAAACGAUAGCUAAUACCGCAUAAAAUGGAUUAUCGCAUGAUAAUCCAUUGAAAGGUGCAAAUGCAUCACUACCAGAUGGACCUGCGUUGUAUUAGCUAGUUGGUGGGGUAACGGCUCACCAAGGCGACGAUACAUAGCCGACCUGAGAGGGUGAUCGGCCACACUGGGACUGAGACACGGCCCAGACUCCUACGGGAGGCAGCAGUAGGGAAUCUUCGGCAAUGGACGGAAGUCUGACCGAGCAACGCCGCGUGAGUGAAGAAGGUUUUCGGAUCGUAAAGCUCUGUUGUAAGAGAAGAACGAGUGUGAGAGUGGAAAGUUCACACUGUGACGGUAUCUUACCAGAAAGGGACGGCUAACUACGUGCCAGCAGCCGCGGUAAUACGUAGGUCCCGAGCGUUGUCCGGAUUUAUUGGGCGUAAAGCGAGCGCAGGCGGUUAGAUAAGUCUGAAGUUAAAGGCUGUGGCUUAACCAUAGUACGCUUUGGAAACUGUUUAACUUGAGUGCAAGAGGGGAGAGUGGAAUUCCAUGUGUAGCGGUGAAAUGCGUAGAUAUAUGGAGGAACACCGGUGGCGAAAGCGGCUCUCUGGCUUGUAACUGACGCUGAGGCUCGAAAGCGUGGGGAGCAGACAGG